CCCUUAGAUGUUCUGGGCCGCACGCGCGCUACACUGAUGAACGCAACGAGCUCCUCCCUUAUUCGAAAGAAUCGGGUAAACUUGUGAAAGUUCAUCGUGAUGGGGAUAGAUUAUUGCAAUUAUUAAUCUUCAACGAGGAAUUCCUAGUAAGCGUGAGUCAUCAGCUCACGUUGAUUACGUCCCUGCCCUUUGUACACACCGCCCGUCGCUCCUACCGAUUGAAUGGUCCGGCGAAAUCUUCAGAUUGCUGACCUUGGCAUUUAUUUGUCUUGGUUGCGAGAAGUUGAUUAAACCUUAUCAUUUAGAGGAAGGAGAAGUCGUAACA
rnacentral:rRNA from 1 species